rnacentral:lncRNA from 1 species
AAAAAAAAAAAAAAAAAGGGAGAUGAAACUCCGCCCAGAGCUACGACAAGGCCACCUGCGGCCCAGGGACAAGGAGCACCGGGAAGGCCUAGGAGAAGGGGUUGCAGUGCCCGGACCCCCGCAGGCGCAGCAUCAUCCCUUUGAGUCCUCAGAAAUGUGCAGUUUCCAGAAUGCUGAGCCUGGGCGAGGCACCACCCGGGAAUAUCGGCCGGGGGAGAGAGGGCCCUGAGGGUGGCCCCUUCCGCUACUAACACACUAUGCUUCUUGGCACAAGUGUCAUCCCCUCUCUGGUCCCCAGGUGCCCCGUCUGCAGAGGCUGGCGCACACCUGACGGGGCUGGUGGGGCCCCCAACACGCCACCCCUCCCCACGCCUGAGCUGACUGCGGGCCGUGAGCCCGGCGCCAUCCUCCAGGCCUUCCCUUAGCCUCUCAACAAGGCCUUGAUGCAAUCAGCAGCAGCACCCCAUUUGCUAGGAGAGCACCCCGAGGCUCCGGCGUGAGAAGGGCCCCUCCCAGGGGUCCAGGAAGAGGCGCAGACAAGGCCCCUGGAGCGCAGCUCGUCCAGCACUGGCCGUGGCUCCAGGCUUCCACCUGCACGCCCCCCCCCCCCCCCGCGCAGCCGCAGCUCCAUCCGUGGCCAAGCCCUCCUCCUUCUAGACUUCACCCCUGCCCAGGUGCCCCUGUCCCGCCUGUGCUCCUGGCACGGCCCUGACCAGAGCACACAGCAUCAUCGGCUCGUGCUCCUCCUCUCAGCAGCUCCUUGAGCGGCGGGAGCUGUCUCCCUCUCCUUUCUAGGCCCCAGCCUGGGACACGGACCGACUGGCCUGGGAGCCGGCAGGGGUGCGUGAGAACCGGGGGGACAACUGCAGGACCGUCACCGUCCCCUCCGCCGCCCCACCGAGCUUCAGGUGCCCCAGCGUGGACAGAGCCGCUCCCAUCCGCCUCACAGGCCCGCCGGGGUUUCCAGAACAGCGCCCAAUAAAACGCACCCAGAGGGGCCGGCACAUGGCAAUUCUGGACAAGCCACCGACACGGUGACCAGAUUCCUGGCCAGCGCUUUGGCUUUCGCACGUCAAGGCCCAGAGCACCCCGACCAGUUCUGUCCCCUGACCACAAGCCUGCCGUCGCGGCCUUUGGGUGGCCGAGGCCCCCGGACCAAGAGCACCGCAAGUGCAGCACAAGGGGAGGGUCCGGAACUGAACCCAGAUGCGGCCCUGAGUGAAGACCAAGCCGGUGACACUGGGAGAUGCCACCCACCUAAAAUCCCACCGUUCACAGCUCAUGCAUUGCUCUUCUCAACCGCCCACCGCCACCCGCUGGAUGCACCCGUCUUCCUUCUGCCUCUGCGUCCCCACAGUGACCAGGGCAGGAUCGCUGAGCCCUAAGUUAGACGAGGUCCCUUCCUUGCUCAAAACCAUCCAUCAGGGCAGCCCGGGUGGCUCAGAGGGUUAGCGCCGCCUUCAGCCCAGGGCCAGAUCCUGGAGACCCGGGAUUGAAUCCUGCGUCGGGCUCCCUGCGUGGAGCCUGCUUCUCCCUCGGCCUGUGUCUCUGCCUCUCUCUCUCUAUGUCUCUCAUGAAUAAAUGAAUAAAAU